rnacentral:lncRNA from 1 species
UACUAUUACGCAUAUUGUCUUUUAAUAAUUUUCACUGAUCGGAGGAAGCGAGCGAUAGUAAAUACCUAAAACCAUAUCAAAUAUUUUUACAAGCAUAUUAUACAAAUAAAACCACAUAGCUAGGUUGAGAGCCAAUACAAUCCACAUCCCCUAUAUAUGAUCCCUUCUCGUUUCUUAAGCUCGACUCCCAACUUCACUCAUCGGGCUCCAAAUCGGGUAUACCUACAAAAAUACAACACCUAUAUGAGCCUUUGAGGACUAUGAGAAACUUGAAGUAAUAGAUAAUACCUACAAACAUACAAGGCAUACCACAUAGAGCAUACAUGUAUAUAUAUACAUACAACAUAAAUUAAAGUAAUCAUAUACUUUCCUUUUUGUCGGAGUUCUUCUUCGUUGUUCAUUUUCAAGCGCAUAGAGUGAGAUAAAUUGUCACUUUUAUAACCCUAUUAUCGGAGACCAUAGAGUGAAAAUAUCCCACCUUUAUAACCCUAUGCCUUGACAUUUGUAUUGAAGAUUAUAGAGUGAGAAUAUCUCACCUUUAUAACCCUAUGAUCCCAAGACCAUAGAGUGAGAUUGUCUCACUUUUAUAACCCUAUAUUUUCAAUACCAUAAUGAGACAUGCAUGAAAUGAAAAAUUAUCGGGAAUCCCUUUGGAAAAAUCAAUCUAAGUUCCCGAUAAAUAACCUCAUAUUUUACGAGCCCGCCUAUCUAUGUGGAAUCAAACCACCCCUAAGCCCUACGACACCGACUCGUCGUACCCCGGUUAUUUACCGUAAUCUCGAAAGAGUUUCCAACAUACUUUUACCUUUUAAAAAUUAUGACAGAUAUGCACCCAAGCAUGGACCCAUCUACUUACCCUUUUCUCAUUCUCACACCCAAUGAUCAACACAUAAACAAUCAAAAGAAGAUCUCAUAGCAAAUAAAGUUCCAUAUAGACAUUUCUUCACAUAGUCAUUUAGGCAUAAAAAUAAGGGGUAAUAUGCCUCACACCCCUCAAACCAAACUUAAUUAGAUAUGAGUGACAAACUCAAAUAAAAUAUUUUAACUACAUCCCUAUUUUAAAAUAAAAAUUGAUACACAUCCUUUGAUUUUUAUUUAACCCAAAAAUACCCUUACAAUACCUAAUAAAAGUCACGGUGUCUCUUCUUUUUCUUAUUUCUUUCUCUCUCUUCCCCUCUCUUUCUCACGCCGCUCAACCGCUCAACAUAUCACGUUCUGGUUCUCUCUCUCUCUCUCUCUCUCUCUCUCUCUCUCUCUCUCUCUCUCUCUCUCUCUCUCUCUCUCUCUCUCUCUCUCUCUCUCUCUCUCUCGCUCUCUCUCUCUCUCUCUCUCUCUCUCUCUCUCUCUCUCUCUCUCUCUCUCUCCUGAUCUCUUCUCCUCUUCUCUCUCACACACGUCCCCCCUCCCUUCCUCCUUUUUUUUCUUUUCAAUUGAUGGUGGUUAUGGCAGAUGGCAGCGGUAUGAUGGCGGCGGUUAUGGUAGGCGACGACGAUGGCUAUGGCGACGCUCGGCAUAGGAAUUGCAUCGGGAGGCUAUGUGAUGGCAGGCUCGUUGUUUGCUUGCAACCCACAUGGAUGAAUCGUGAAGGUGGGUCUGGGUGUGGGGGGUGGAGAGGGGGAGUAGUGGCGUGGUGGUGGCGGUGGAUCGGAUUUAGGGUUUGUUGGGAAAAAAAUAAUAUUUUUCGAUUUAGUUGUCUACAGAUGUCUAUGAGUGUCUAUGGGUGUCUAUGGUGUUUGACGGCUUGGGUUGAAAGGAGUUAGGGUUUCAAGAUGUCUAUGGGUUACUACGGAUUACUAAAGGUUUCUACAGAAUUCUUUAGAUGUCUACGGCAAAAAAAAAAAUUUAAAAAAAUCAUAAUUUUCAAUUUAUUUUGAAAAUAAGGGGAAAAAUAGAUUUUAUAUAAUGAAAAAAUACGAAAAAUGAAAAUAAAAAAGAAAAAAGUAACCAUAAUUUUUAAUUUUAUGUAGAAAAGGGGAAAAAUAGAUUUUUAUAUAAUGAGAAAUAUGAAAGAGAAAGAAAAAAAAAACGUGUUCUACGAAAAACUAAAAAAAAAAAAUGGUAGAUGCAAAUUUAAAAAUGUUAAAUAAUACCAUAGUUCAUCAUAGUAUAUUUAUAAUCUGUUGUAAUGUUGAAUUUGUGAGUAGAGGGGCAUUUUUGGAAUAAAUUUAAUAAAGGAUGUGAAGCAAAUUUUAAUUAGACUUGUCAUUUAGUUCUAAUACGGUUUGUCACCAGGGACUUAUAUCUUAAGACCCCUAAAAAUAAAAUCCAUAGACAAAUACAAGCAAUAACCGAAAUUUAAACAUGCAAAGCUAAUCCAUAAACAAUCAAAAGUUCAUUAAUUACAAGAACUUGCAAGAAGAAAGUUCAAGACUUUCAUCCUUGCAUUUUCUUCAAUUCUUUCCACUAGAUCUUCAAAUGCAAGAGUCUUUUAAAACACUUUUAAAUCCCUUUAUCAAUCUUCAUUAGAAAACACGAGAUCUUAACAUGCAAGACCUUAAAUCAACAAUCAAACAUUAGGUUAACACAUGCAAGGCACUAAUAAAACCAAAUAAGCAACUUAUGCAUUUUUAUCCCAAAAAUUUGAAACAUCACACAUAAAUAAUAAUUUAUUCUCUACACAAAUUCCACAUGCAUCAACAUACAUCCAUACUACUAUUCUCCUAUUUCAUUAAUUUUCCAUUUCCUUAGCCAAAGAAGCAAAUUUUCGAAAGUUUCAUAGUUAAGCAAAAAAUUCAAUUUCUUUCCACAAAUCAAUAAUCAAUCACUAGAUAAGCACAUUCAAGCUACUAAUUAGGCCAAAUAAGCAACUUAUGCAAUGUUUCCCCAAAUUUUCGAAAAACAUAAAACUUCAAGAACAAACUUAUCUUUUUAAAAUACUAAUAUGCAAUCAUCAUCUAAGCAAUAUAACCACAUAAUAUGCAAGUAUUAGCCAAGAAAUUAUAUAAAAACCGAAUAAUAGUGGUGUUGCAUGUUUGAGCAAGAAUUCUUAAAUUAUCCCCUCUACUCUUUAUAAAGGCAAUGAUUUAUUAGAUCGUUUUUCUCUAAUACAAGAAGAGAUAGAGGGUUAGAUUAUAUUUUCAAGAAGAAGAAGAACUUGAAAGAGGAAGAGCUUAGCUCUUUCGAAAAAAUGAAGAAAAGAAGAGGAAGAAGAAACUUACUCCUAUGCUUCGCCGAAAAUUCUCCUCUUAUGGAAAUAGGAGACCUUGAACUUAUAAAUGGUGAGAGUGGAGUUUGAGAGUGCGUUUUAGUCUUGGACAUUGGAGGUAUAUAUAGAGUUUUUGGAGAGCUCAAAGCUUAUGGUGAAGAAAGGGAAAUACAUGUUUUAUGGGGGUGAUUUUGCAAUAUUUUGAAAGAGGUGUGGUGGUGGUUCUUGGAUAGCUUAAGCUCGAGAAAAUGUUUGCUAUGGUGGGGAGAUGGACCUGGCUAAAA